CUGGAAUGGUUCAUGGCCGAAAUCUAUAUGGCCUUUGGAUUGGACUGCGGCCGAUCAGGCUGUUGGUGAGGUAAUGGCCCACCAAACCUGUUACCGGUACGGGCUCUGAGAGGAGGAGCCCGGAGAUGGGCACUGAGACAAGGGCCCAGGCCCUAUGGGGCGCAGCAGGCGCGAAACCUCUGCAAUAGGCGAAAGCUUGACAGGGUUACUCUGAGUGAUUUCCGUUAAGGAGAUCUUUUGACACCUCUAAAAAGGGUGCAGAAUAAGGGGUGGGCAAGUCUGGUGUCAGCCGCCGCGGUAAUACCAGCACCCCGAGUGGUCGGGACGAUUAUUGGGCCUAAAGCAUCCGUAGCCGGUUCUGCAAGUCCCCCGUUAAAUCCAGCUGCUCAACAGAUGGGCCGCGGAGGAUACUACAGAGCUAGGAGGCAGGAGAGGCAAGCGGUACUCAGUGGGUAGGGGUAAAAUCCGUUGAUCCAUUGAAGACCACCAGUGGCGAAGGCGGCUUGCCAGAAUGCGCUCGACGGUGAGGGAUGAAAGCUGGGGGAGCAAACCGGAUUAGAUACCCGGGUAGUCCCAGCCGUAAACGAUGCAGACUCGGUGAUGGGUUGGCUUCGCGCUAACCCAGUGCCGCAGGGAAGCCGUUAAGUCUGCCGCCUGGGUAGUACGGUCGCAAGACUGAAACUUAAAGGAAUUGGCGGGGGAGCACCACAAGGGGUGAAGCCUGCGGUUCAAUUGGACUCAACGCCGGU
rnacentral:rRNA from 1 species